rnacentral:rRNA from 1 species
UUAAGCGACUAAGCGUACACGGUGGAUGCCCUGGCAGUCAGAGGCGAUGAAGGACGUGCUAAUCUGCGAAAAGCGUCGGUAAGGUGAUAUGAACCGUUAUAACCGGCGAUGUCCGAAUGGGGAAACCCAGUGCAAUUCGUUGCACUAUCGUUAACUGAAUACAUAGGUUAACGAGGCGAACCGGGGGAACUGAAACAUCUAAGUACCCCGAGGAAAAGAAAUCAACCGAGAUUCCCCAGUAGCGGCGAGCGAACGGGGAGCAGCCCAGAGUCUGAAUCAGCUUGUGUGUUAGUGGAACGGUCUGGAAAGUCCGACGGUACAGGGUGAUAGUCCCGUACACCAAAAUGCACAGGCUGUGAACUCGAAGAGUAGGGCGGGACACGUGGUAUCCUGUCUGAAUAUGGGGGGACCAUCCUCCAAGGCUAAAUACUCCUGACUGACCGAUAGUGAACCAGUACCGUGAGGGAAAGGCGAAAAGAACCCCGGCGAGGGGAGUGAAAAAGAACCUGAAACCGUGUACGUACAAGCAGUGGGAGCACCUUCGGGUGUGACUGCGUACCUUUUGUAUAAUGGGUCAGCGACUUAUAUUCUGUAGCAAGGUUAACCGUAUAGGGGAGCCGCAGGGAAACCGAGUCUUAACUGGGCGUUAAGUUGCAGGGUAUAGACCCGAAACCCGGUGAUCUAGCCAUGGGCAGGUUGAAGGUUGGGUAACACUAACUGGAGGACCGAACCGACUAAUGUUGAAAAAUUAGCGGAUGACUUGUGGCUGGGGGUGAAAGGCCAAUCAAACCGGGAGAUAGCUGGUUCUCCCCGAAAGCUAUUUAGGUAGCGCCUCGUGAAUUCAUCUUCGGGGUAGAGCACUGUUUCGGCUAGGGGGUCAUCCCGACUUACCAACCCGAUGCAAACUACGAAUACCGAAGAAUGUUAUCACGGGAGACACACGGCGGGUGCUAACGUCCGUCGUGAAGAGGGAAACAACCCAGACCGCCAGCUAAGGUCCCAAAGUCAUGGUUAAGUGGGAAACGAUGUGGGAAGGCACAGACAGCCAGGAUGUUGGCUUAGAAGCAGCCAUCAUUUAAAGAAAGCGUAAUAGCUCACUGGUCGAGUCGGCCUGCGCGGAAGAUGUAACGGGGCUAAACCAUGCACCGAAGCUGCGGCAGCGACACUAUGUGUUGUUGGGUAGGGGAGCGUUCUGUAAGCCUGCGAAGGUGACCUGUGAGGGUUGCUGGAGGUAUCAGAAGUGCGAAUGCUGACAUAAGUAACGAUAAAGCGGGUGAAAAGCCCGCUCGCCGGAAGACCAAGGGUUCCUGUCCAACGUUAAUCGGGGCAGGGUGAGUCGACCCCUAAGGCGAGGCCGAAAGGCGUAGUCGAUGGGAAACAGGUUAAUAUUCCUGUACUUGGUGUUACUGCGAAGGGGGGACGGAGAAGGCUAUGUUAGCCGGGCGACGGUUGUCCCGGUUUAAGCAUGUAGGCUGGUUAUCCAGGCAAAUCCGGAUAAUCAAGGCUGAGGUGUGAUGACGAGGCACUACGGUGCUGAAGUAACAAAUGCCCUGCUUCCAGGAAAAGCCUCUAAGCAUCAGGUAACAUUAAAUCGUACCCCAAACCGACACAGGUGGUCAGGUAGAGAAUAUCAAGGCGCUUGAGAGAACUCGGGUGAAGGAACUAGGCAAAAUGGUGCCGUAACUUCGGGAGAAGGCACGCUGGUGUGUAGGUGAAGUCCCUGCGGAUGGAGCUGAGACCAGUCGAAGAUACCAGCUGGCUGCAACUGUUUAUUAAAAACACAGCACUGUGCAAACACGAAAGUGGACGUAUACGGUGUGACGCCUGCCCGGUGCCGGAAGGUUAAUUGAUGGGGUUAUCCGUAAGGAGAAGCUCUUGAUCGAAGCCCCGGUAAACGGCGGCCGUAACUAUAACGGUCCUAAGGUAGCGAAAUUCCUUGUCGGGUAAGUUCCGACCUGCACGAAUGGCGUAAUGAUGGCCAGGCUGUCUCCACCCGAGACUCAGUGAAAUUGAACUCGCUGUGAAGAUGCAGUGUACCCGCGGCAAGACGGAAAGACCCCGUGAACCUUUACUAUAGCUUGACACUGAACAUUGAGCCUUGAUGUGUAGGAUAGGUGGGAGGCUUUGAAGCGUGGACGCCAGUCUGCGUGGAGCCAACCUUGAAAUACCACCCUUUAAUGUUUGAUGUUCUAACGUUGGCCCCUGACCGGGGUUGCGGACAGUGUCUGGUGGGUAGUUUGACUGGGGCGGUCUCCUCCCAAAGCGUAACGGAGGAGCACGAAGGUUAGCUAAUCCUGGUCGGACAUCAGGAGGUUAGUGCAAUGGCAUAAGCUAGCUUGACUGCGAGCGUGACGGCGCGAGCAGGUGCGAAAGCAGGUCAUAGUGAUCCGGUGGUUCUGAAUGGAAGGGCCAUCGCUCAACGGAUAAAAGGUACUCCGGGGAUAACAGGCUGAUACCGCCCAAGAGUUCAUAUCGACGGCGGUGUUUGGCACCUCGAUGUCGGCUCAUCACAUCCUGGGGCUGAAGUAGGUCCCAAGGGUAUGGCUGUUCGCCAUUUAAAGUGGUACGCGAGCUGGGUUUAGAACGUCGUGAGACAGUUCGGUCCCUAUCUGCCGUGGGCGCUGGAGAAUUGAGGGGGGCUGCUCCUAGUACGAGAGGACCGGAGUGGACGCAUCACUGGUGUUCGGGUUGUCAUGCCAAUGGCACUGCCCGGUAGCUAAAUGCGGAAGAGAUAAGUGCUGAAAGCAUCUAAGCACGAAACUUGCCCCGAGAUGAGUUCUCCCUGAGACUUUAAGUCUCCUGAAGGAACGUUGAAGACGAUGACGUUGAUAGGCCGGGUGUGUAAGCGCAGCGAUGCGUUGAGCUAACCGGUACUAAUGAACCGUGAGGCUUAACCUU